rnacentral:rRNA from 1 species
CCUACGGGAGGCAGCAGUGGGGAAUAUUGGACAAUGGGGGGAACCCUGAUCCAGCGACGCCGCGUGAGUGAAGAAGUAUUUCGGUAUGUAAAGCUCUAUCAGCAGGGAAGAAAAUGACGGUACCUGACUAAGAAGCCCCGGCUAACUACGUGCCAGCAGCCGCGGUAAUACGUAGGGGGCAAGCGUUAUCCGGAUUUACUGGGUGUAAAGGGAGUGUAGACGGGGGAGCAAGUCUGAUGUGAAAGGUCGGGGCUCAACCCCGGGACUGCAUUGGAAACUGUGGAACUGGAGUGCUGGAGAGGUAAGCGGAAUUCCGAGUGUAGCGGUGAAAUGCGUAGAUAUUAGGAGGAACACCAGUGGCGAAGGCGGCUUACUGGACAGUAACUGACGUUGAGGCUCGAAAGCGUGGGGAGCAAACAGGAUUAGAUACCCGAGUAGUC